AGAGUUUGAUCAUGGCUCAGAGUGAACGCUGGCGGUAGGCCUAACACAUGCAAGUCGAACGGCAGCACAGGAGAGCUUGCUCUCUGGGUGGCGAGUGGCGGACGGGUGAGGAAUACAUCGGAAUCUACCUUUUCGUGGGGGAUAACGUAGGGAAACUUACGCUAAUACCGCAUACGACCUACGGGUGAAAGUGGGGGACCGCAAGGCCUCACGCGAUUAGAUGAGCCGAUGUCCGAUUAGCUAGUUGGCGGGGUAAUGGCCCACCAAGGCGACGAUCGGUAGCUGGUCUGAGAGGAUGAUCAGCCACACUGGAACUGAGACACGGUCCAGACUCCUACGGGAGGCAGCAGUGGGGAAUAUUGGACAAUGGGCGCAAGCCUGAUCCAGCCAUACCGCGUGGGUGAAGAAGGCCUUCGGGUUGUAAAGCCCUUUUGUUGGGAAAGAAAUCCAGCUGGCUAAUACCCGGUUGGGAUGACGGUACCCAAAGAAUAAGCACCGGCUAACUUCGUGCCAGCAGCCGCGGUAAUACGAAGGGUGCAAGCGUUACUCGGAAUUACUGGGCGUAAAGCGUGCGUAGGUGGUCGUUUAAGUCCGUUGUGAAAGCCCUGGGCUCAACCUGGGAACUGCAGUGGAUACUGGGCGACUAGAAUGUGGUAGAGGGUAGCGGAAUUCCUGGUGUAGCAGUGAAAUGCGUAGAGAUCAGGAGGAACAUCCAUGGCGAAGGC
rnacentral:rRNA from 2 species